rnacentral:rRNA from 1 species
UACGAAGGGGGCUAGCGUUGUUCGGAAUUACUGGGCGUAAAGCGUGCGCAGGCGGCUUCUCAAGUCAGGGGUGAAAGCCCAGAGCUCAACUCUGGAAUUGCCUUUGAGACUGAGAGGCUUGAGUACGGGAGAGGUGGAGUGGAAUUCCCAGUGUAGAGGUGAAAUUCGUAGAUAUUGGGAAGAACACCAGUGGCGAAGGCGGCUCACUGGACCGGUAACUGACGCUCAUGCACGACAGCGUGGGGAGCGAACAGG